rnacentral:lncRNA from 1 species
UGCUCUGUAAUCCUUUCCAGGUCCACUGUUUUCCUGCCCCUUCUUUUGCCCAGUAUUCUGAUAUAAUUAGCUGGUACAAGUCCUGUUGUUUGACCAUCGAAACUAGCCAAAAGCCAGCCACGGAUUUUGGGUUGUUGGUCUUUGGGUGCUAAUUUUAGAAUGUCACCAGCACGGAAGGAAAUUUCCUCUUCUGAGAGAGCACUGAAGUCAUAGUCUGCUCUUCCAACUACAUGAUCA